UUUUUUUUUUUUUUUUGUCGAAUACACCAUAACUUCAUUUCAUUUUGUAAACUUGAUAUUACAAGACUUAGAUACAGCAGAUUCGCUUCCUCUGAGGUCACUUUGGGCUUCCUCUUGGAGCCACAUGGGAAAACAUACAUCCCAUUCAACAUUUGUUGUUAGCUUGACAGCAAAUUUUGCUACACUAUGUGCACAUCUAUUCCCAUCUCUAUGCACAAAAGAGAAAGUACAUUGUUCAAACAAACCUCUCAUAUUUGCUAUAUCCUCAAGGAUGACCCCGAUGCUGUUUUGCUGCUUUUGUUUCUUGUUUAGCAUAUCCACCACGUCUUUGCAGUCUGAUUGAAGCUCAACUGCCCUCCAGUUUGCUUUCCAGGCCAUUUGCAUUCCCAUCCUAAUUGCUGCUGCUUCCUCCACCCGUGGCUCACUACGUUUUACUUCAGCUCUUGCCCAGACUUUCAUCAGCUCCCCUUCAGCAGUUCUGGCCACAACACCUAUACCUGUUCUCUCUAAAUUUUGUGAAAAUGCAGCAUCAGUAUUUAGUUUUAUCGUACCCCGUGAUGGUGGCCUCCAUGUCUUAAUUCUGCUUGAGAUUGUUGUUUGUUGAAUGAACUCUCCUGUUAUAUCUUGUUGGGCUUCUAUAUACUCAUUCCAUUCACCCACAGCUUUCUGCAUUGUUUCCCUUGGGUCUGUCUCAUAAACAUCAAAAGCUGUCCUGUUCCUUGCCUUCCAUAUUUGCCAAAGGAUAUUCACAGUCAGCGCUAUGUGGUCAUGUCCUUGCUCCCUAGUUUUUGCUCCUAAUAUCCCUUCCCACCAUCUUACAAAAUUUCCUCUCAUAUCCCUCAACCCAUCCCAUUGUAUGGGUGCAAGUUUCCAGGUCGUUUCAGCCAUGUUACAAAAGAACAACAUGUGUUCUAACGUUUCCACCUCUUCCCCACAGCUACUACAUAUUGGACUGCCUUUGCCUGUUCGCUUAUGUAUUUGCUCAUUCACUGGCAGGCUAUGAUGUAGGCACCUCCAUAUGAAGUGCUUCAGUUUGUGUUUCAGUUGUAAUGCCCAUACAUUCUUCCAAACUUUGGAGUUCUGUUGAGCAUAACUUGUACUUCCUCUAUCUCCUUGCCUUCUUUCCUUUUGUUUAUGCUUCCUUAUUUCCAUUGAUACAUCAUAUGCAGAUUUUACCGUGAACGCACCUGAUUUGGUGUAUCUCCAAUACAAACGAUCCUGGCAGCCUGUGAAACUGAGUGGAAUAGCUUUGAUCUUUUGGAUAUCCUCUGCUAUGAACCACCGGUUCAGUGUUUGCUGGUCCCAAGCUCCAUCCACUAUCAGCUCAUCCACUUUUCUUAGUGUGCACUGUGGUUCCUUUCUAGUCUUAAUCCUCCCCUCCUCACUCCCUUGCAACCGGUGGUUCAUUUGAGUAGGCUUGUUUUCAUUUGAGUAGCUGGACAAAACAUUUGAGUAGGCUUGUUUUCUAUUAAAUUUCCUUUCCUUCCCUUUUUUUUGGUUACCACACCAAAACGGACCUUGCCACAAGAGAAACGGAAACAGGUGUUGGCUAGCGGGCUUUGGUGCAUAAAAUUACUUGUUCUAUACAGUUCGAAGCCUCUAAUCCUUCUAUUCUCCAUCCAAAUUGCUUAAGUACGAAGUUUCUAGUGAAUAUAACAUAUGCCAGAACAUUCAGUAACAAGUCAGAUUAACUUGGCCCAAACAGGAUUUGAAAUUCGAAGGUUUAGAUUUGUACAGUUGUACAAGAACAAAAUUCUAGUGAAACAACAAAAGAACAGGAGCCAGCAAGCACUAGCCAAGUCACCACCCCUCCCGAAGGAAAAUGACUUUGGUUCAAUUUUCACCCAGCCUUGCACCAAGCUUUUCCUAAAUACAUAUAAAACAAGGGAAUAAAUCCAUUUCAACAUAAGAAAGCUUUGCCUUCACUGGAGUAUUUGGCUGCCGUAAUCUUCAUUAAAUUUCUCAUAACGAUGUGCAUGGAGAUGGGCAGAGGGCUUUGUGUUCUUCAAAGCGACCUCUAUGUCUCCAGGUGUAAUUGGUCCAACCUCAGGCAACUCUGCAAGCAACAAAAACUUUUAGCAACCAAGUACACUAGUAACUUGGACCCAACUAUAUAAUGAGAACAAUGAUUCAUCGAUAGACCAAGUUAAUUAGCACAUCCUUAAUCAAAUCACUUCAGAUAAUUGACAAAACACUUGCUCAACCACUGUUUGGUUGCAGAUUGAACACGUCAUAUUUCAACCACCCUCCACCAAUCAUUUCAAUGAACUUGCAUAGAUACCCAGAUCAUGUAUGGAUUUCAAAUCUUUACCAAUAAACAAUUAUCAAGGUUUUCAAACCAUUAAUAUCCUUCAUUUAAUUGGCAUCAUUUCAGAUCCAUUAUUGUCCUUUAAUUAAAUUUAGGUGGUAGACCUAGAGUGCUUAUUCAAAUCUUUUUGUCAUCCAAACUGAAUUGUUCAAACGGAUGAUUUCAAAAACCUUUUUUCCCAUUAAGCUCCUUGCACAAAAUAGAAUCCACCAAUCAAAAGAGGACAUCCUUUUCAGUCCUUUAACAGAAAGGUACACAGCAGAGCAGAGGCAAGUAAAAGCACAAUAUAUUCAUUAAAAGAUUUCUAGAUCCACACAAUCAUUGUCCAUGGGAGACAAACCUGUACAUAUGCAUAUACAACACAUACAUAUACAUAAACAUGUAUAUAUACAUAUAUUAUGUGUGUCAGUGUGCUAUGUAUGUGUUGUGUUAUAUAAAUAUAUAUACAUGUGUGUGUGUGUGUCUAUAUGUAUGUAUAUAAAUUUCAGUUUUCCUUUUUCACAUGGCAUUCCUAGAGUAAAGACUGCAGCAAAUAAUGGUGAAUAUAGCAUACCAUCCUCAGGCAUGACUUCUUGUUUGUCUUCAAGAAACAGUAUUAACUGUCUUAGGGGCUGCAUGGCAGCCUCUUUGCACAAUAACCUAAUAUCAGAACCAGAAUAACCCUCUGUUCUUUCGACUAAUAUAUCAUAAGGAAGUUUCUCUUCACCAGAGCUCGAUGGCAAGAGUUCCUCAAACAUGGCUCUUCGUGCAUCUGGUUCUG
rnacentral:lncRNA from 1 species